rnacentral:piRNA from 1 species
UGGAAAGCCACUAGGAAUAGAUAGACAUGU